rnacentral:rRNA from 1 species
AUUGAACGCUGGCGGCAUGCCUUACACAUGCAAGUCGAACGGUAACAGGUCUUCGGAUGCUGACGAGUGGCGAACGGGUGAGUAAUACAUCGGAACGUGCCCAGACGUGGGGGAUAACGAGGCGAAAGCUUUGCUAAUACCGCAUACGAUCUAAGGAUGAAAGCAGGGGACCGCAAGGCCUUGUGCGUUUGGAGCGGCCGAUGGCAGAUUAGGUAGUUGGUGGGAUAAAAGCUUACCAAGCCGACGAUCUGUAGCUGGUCUGAGAGGACGACCAGCCACACUGGGACUGAGACACGGCCCAGACUCCUACGGGAGGCAGCAGUGGGGAAUUUUGGACAAUGGGCGAAAGCCUGAUCCAGCAAUGCCGCGUGCAGGAUGAAGGCCUUCGGGUUGUAAACUGCUUUUGUACGGAACGAAAAGGCUCUGGCUAAUACCCGGGGCACAUGACGGUACCGUAAGAAUAAGCACCGGCUAACUACGUG